rnacentral:rRNA from 1 species
UACGGGAGGCAGCAGUGGGGAAUUUUCCGCAAUGGGCGAAAGCCUGACGGAGCAACGCCGCGUGAGGGAUGAAGGCCUCUGGGCUGUAAACCUCUUUUCUCAAGGAAGAAGAUCUGACGGUACUUGAGGAAUAAGCCACGGCUAAUUCCGUGCCAGCAGCCGCGGUAAUACGGGAGUGGCAAGCGUUAUCCGGAAUUAUUGGGCGUAAAGCGUCUGCAGGCGGCCUUGUAAGUCUGUCGUUAAAGCGUGGAGCUUAACUCCAUUUCAGCGAUGGAAACUACAAGGCUUGAGUGUGGUAGGGGCAGAGGGAAUUCCCGGUGUAGCGGUGAAAUGCGUAGAUAUCGGGAAGAACACCAGUGGCGAAGGCGCUCUGCUGGGCCAUAACUGACGCUCAUGGACGAAAGCCAGGGGAGCGAAAGGGAUUAGAUACCCCUGUAGUCCUGGCCGUAAACGAUGAACACUAGGCGUCGGGGGAAUCGACCCCCUCGGUGUCGUAGCCAACGCGUUAAGUGUUCCGCCUGGGGAGUACGCACGCAAGUGUGAAACUCAAAUGAAUUGACCGG